GGCCAGGCACUACUCUGUCCCAACAAUAAGCCCUGUACAUUGGGAAAGGUGCCGAAGACAUGAACUUUGGUCUUCUCUGCAAUCCCUCUGGAGCAUUCAGUGACAACGUCGACUUUGAAGUUGCACUGACCUGGCCAGCCCUGCCACUUACCAGGUUGGGCUGUGGCUUGCCUUUUCACUUCUUGUGUCCUGUUUAAGAAAUAUCUGCUAUCCCAAGAUUGCAAACUCCUAGAGAAGGGCUCAACAGUGAGUGUUGAGGCUGCACAGAGGAGGAAGGUAGCACAAUGAUGGAAGGCUUCCUAAAGAGAUAACACUAACAAAGUUGACCUUAGAAUUGGAGUGCCCGGGUUAGAACCUUGCUGGUACCACCUGCUUACUGCAUGCUUCUGAUGUGAGUUCAGGAGAAGCCACUGGCAAGGACAGCAAAGAACAGGAGAACACUCUAGCUUCCCUGAUAGCAUUCAAGGUGCUGUCCAAACUGACUGUGAUGGCACCCUCCAGACAGACAGCGAUGCCACAUGUUCAAGAUGGCAGAAUCACUAACAGCUUCAAUUCCUGAAUGACUGCAGAGCAAAAUUUCUUACCCGCAACAUACACUCUAUUUUCAGCCUCCCUGGACUGUUACAUAAUGAUACAUAAAAAUAUUUCUUGUGUUGAGGCAUCCCAAAUUUGAUCUAUUUGUCAUCACAGUUUAUCCUACGAAUAUAUUUCUGAUCCAAAUAAUGCUAGAUUCAUGAGAGUUUAUAGUCCAGAGAUUUUUUUUUUUUUUUUUUUUUGAGACAGAAUCUCACUGUCUGCCAGGCUGGGGUGCAGUGGCAUAAUCUUAGCUCACUGCAACCUCCGCCUCCUGGGCUCAAGUGAUCCUCCCUCCUUAGCCUCCAUGAAUAGCUGGGACCACAGGUGUGCACCACCCCACCCAGCUAAUUAUUUUGUAUUUUUUGCAGAGACGGGGUUUCACCACAUUGCCCAAGCUGGUCUCAAACUCCUAGACUUAAGGGAUCUUCCCGCCUUGGCCUCCCAAAAUGCUGAAAUUACAUGUGUUAGCCAUAGUAAUAGUUCCUAGCCAUAGUCCAGAGAUAUUUUAAAAACUUUAGUGUGAGUUAUUUCUCUUUGCUAUAAUUCUCUCAUGCAUUUUGAAAACCUUUUCUGCCAUACAGUGGUUUUUGGGAAGUCCUUUUGGACAGACAUAUCACAGGAUGGAGAAACUAAAAAGAGAGAGAAUGCAUUAAAGAAAAAAUAGUACUUCAUAUUUCAGAAAUUACAAAAGGUUGUCAUGCCCCACAGCAUGGUGGGCAGUCAUUUGUAACCCACAGAACAUUGAGUUUCUAAAAUUUGAGUGUUUUUUAACUUACGAAGGCCAACUUUACUGAUGAAGUGGUUACCCCAAAUAUGUGAAAUCCAUAUUUCAAGCACAAUAGCAGGAAAUCGGAAAUGGGUAGGUAUAUUUCUGACUGUCAAAGAGUACAAAGUAAAGAGGGGCCCCUGAAGAGUGACACUACUGGAAAAA
rnacentral:lncRNA from 1 species